CAGAGGUAGGUCAAAUAAGCACAGCAAUCUGAAUGUCAUGUGCCCAGCAGCCGACUAAUCCUUGCAUCAGCAAGUUUCCCAGCUGUCACAACAGCCACUAAAGGGCUGCUCGGAGGCUCCGAAGCACAAGGAAUCGGCCAAGGAGGAAAGCCACUCUGCAAGGUCACCUGCAGAAUUCCCACUGUGUGCCCCUGCUCAGCACAGGAUGGGCUCUACAGGAGUUGGCCAUGUGGAAAAAGGCUAUUUAUGCACCUGCAUUCCACAGAACUCACACCCAGCUCAGAUGCUGCUGCCCACCCACAACACAACCCCAGCCCUCACCUGCUGGACCUGCAGCCUGGAAGAAGCACGAGUGCCAGCCCACCCUCACCUGGUUCAGAGGGUUUGUCCAAGCUGCUGGGAUGAGCUGGUCACCCAGCCUUGCAGCUGCCUUGCUCAG